CCUACGGGCGGCUGCAGUGGGGAAUAUUGGACAAUGGGCGAAAGCCUGAUCCAGCCAUGCCGCGUGUGUGAAGAAGGCCUUCGGGUUGUAAAGCACUUUCAGUGGGGAAGAAAGCCUUGGGGCGAAUACCCUCGAGGAAGGACAUCACCCACAGAAGAAGCACCGGCUAACUCCGUGCCAGCAGCCGCGGUAAUACGGAGGGUGCGAGCGUUAAUCGGAAUUACUGGGCGUAAAGCGCGCGUAGGCGGUCUGAUAAGCCGGUUGUGAAAGCCCCGGGCGCAACCUGGGAACGGCAUCCGGAACUGUCAGGCUAGAGUGCAGGAGAGGAAGGUAGAAUUCCCGGUGUAGCGGUGAAAGGCGUAGAGAUCGGGAGGAAGACCAGUGGCGAAGGCGGCCUUCUGGACUGACACUGACGCUGAGGUGCGAAAGCGUGGGUAGCAAACAGGAUUAGAUACCCGUGUAGUC
rnacentral:rRNA from 1 species